rnacentral:lncRNA from 1 species
GAGUUUCUCUUACUCGCAGCUAUCACCAGGCAUUAGAGGCCUCAAUCGCACGGAACUUCCCUGACAAUGGAUGCAUUUCCUGCAUGUGUCAUAAUACUGAUGGGAUCUAUAGCUCCAAGCAGACUGCAGUGAUUAGAGCUUCCGAUGACUACUACCCACGGGACCCAGCUUCCCAUACCAUCCAUAUUUCUUCUGUCGCUUACAACACUCUUUUCCUCGGAGAAUUUAUGCAGCCUGACU